rnacentral:rRNA from 1 species
UACGGAAUGUGCAAACGUUAUUCGGAAUCACUGGGCUUAAAGAGUCUGUAGGCGGUUUGUUAGGUGAGGUGUGAAAUCCCUCGGCCCAACCGAGGAAUUGCGCUUCAAACCGGCGAGCUAGAGGAGGAUAGAGGUGGGCGGAACUGAUGGUGGAGCGGUGAAAUGCGUUGAUAUCAUCAGGAACACCGGAGGCGAAAGCGGUCCACUGGGCCGUACCUGACGCUGAGGCGCGAAGGCUAGGGGAGCGAACGGG